rnacentral:lncRNA from 1 species
GGAAACGUGCACUUUUGAUUGGUGGCGGUGGGGAAGCUUUUUGCUACUGAUUGGCCGAACGCUUAGCGGCCUCCCGCCGCUUUCUGCUCUCGGCUGUAGGCACGGCGCAGCCCGGCCCCGAGCCUUUGCGUGUCCAGGGCUGCGCGGACACUCCCGCGCCGCGGGCGAGGCGCGACAGCUGCCGCUGCCCGGAAUAAGAGCUCUUGACGGGACAACGCCGGGGCCUUUAAGCCUCCCCUCGGUUCUCCCGGAUGCAGCUUGACGUAAGAAGGCGACCCGCGGCGCCGCUCGGGAGCCCUCGCGCCCAGUGACGCCGUCCUUCCGCUCCGGCGCUCGGGAAACGUCACUGUGCGUGACGGCGCGCGAGCCGCCAUUUGUUCUGCGCGCGCGCCGCCGCGCGUGGGUACCGCGCAUGCGCCGUGAGCCGAGCGGGCAAGGCGGGUACCGCGUCCAGGUGCGGGCUGGGGGUCGGUGAGCCGCCCGGCAAGGCGGUGUGCCCGCUUACUGGCUUUCUCCCUUCGCGGGCACCGGGAUGGUCCGAGGGCGUCUGCGUUGCUCGUCCGGGAUGAGCGCGAAGUCGAGGACUCGUUCUACCUUCUACCCGUUCGUGCCGGAGCCCGACAAGACGUUCUUACGAAACCUCUUCUGCCGCGUAACGUGAGCGGGCGGGGGGCGAGGGGGGGCGCGGCCCGCGCUGCGCUGCGCCGCUCUGCUCUGCCGGGCAUCGGCACUGUGGCAUCCGCGGGCACUGCGGGCGGCGCGGUGCCUCAGCCAGGCGGGAGAGGCGGCGGUCGGACGCUGAACCGUUAGUUCAGUACGUGUGUAUGGAAUGGAGGUCCUGAAGAGGCCCGUUUGCGCCGACGCAAAGCCGGGGUUGUGGUUUUACCGCAGGGACUGAAGGACGGUGGGAGAAGCAAACAAGCGAAGCGUGCGCGGUGCGGCGGUCUCAGCCCGGUCGCGGGCCGGGCCUGACGCGAAAUGGGAUUUUUUUAGGCCACAGUUGGAAUUCAGCAACAGAAGUGGUGGUGCAGCUUCUCCAUCAUAUACACUUCUCAUGUUCCUACACCUCUGUUGCCCUCUUCUUGUGAGUGCACAAAUUCAUCUGGGUGUAUGGUAAAAUAGAAUUGAUACACGGGCAAACCAGUGGCUGUGUUUCAAUGGAAGGAAUCCCUGGUCUGGUUUAUCUCACAGCCAUGCAAACAGCUGCACUGACAACAGAAAAAAAUGCACUUGGAACAGUGUCCUGAAAUUGUCACCGCUCCACUGGAACAGACAUCUGAAAAGAGCAAGAGAAAAAGGAGAGUUAGACAGCAGCUUGUGCUGCAGGAGCGGCAGUGUGUGGUGCUGUGAUGGAAACAACAGAGACCAUUUGAUACUUUACUAGGCACAUUCUAAAGAUCAAUCUAAACAUUGUUUUACUCGCAUUCGUUACUCACGUUAGCCUGAGAUGGCUCUGAACUUCAUUGGUAUGGUGUCAGAACACAUGUGGAACGGGAGAUAGAUGUGCUGAAGAAGCUCAGUGGCUGCUGUGCCGACACAGCAGUUAGAGCAAUAGGUUUGUUGACUGAAGCUAACCUGAGAACAAAAGCAAAAGGUCAGCAUGGGCAUUUUUCCCCUACCUAACCAGGUAAUCUUGAAUCAUUCUCUGUAAGCAAGAUCAAAAUCCUGUAUGAUUGUCACCAUUAUUAAGUAAUAUUUGUUUUCCAUCCUGAUGCUUUUUGCAAUUCUAUCAUGUCUUUGUAAUUAGCUUCAGGUGAAUCUGACUAAUUGUGAUUUUAUAUUUUUUUUCCUGGCUGAAAUUUCGGUGGGUGCUGGAGUUGCUGAGCCAUCACUUGGGUAUUCCGUGAAGUCUUUAAGCUAGAGAACCGAAUCCUGCACCCCGAAGCACCCCGACUGCGCUCUGAGAUGCAGUCGCUGAAAUGUACCCUUACUGCUGUGACAGUGGCUGCCAGCGUCCUCCAAGCCUUUGUGUCUCUCUUCAGACAAAACAGACUCGGGCUGCAGCCUGAGAACACUGUAGAUUUUUGAGCAGUAGUUACAAAGCCAGAAGAAUCUCCCCUUCACUGCUAUACUUACAAGUCAGUGCAUUCCUUGGUGUUAACGUAAGCUAUGGCUUUUAAAUAAUAUAAUAACCUACGAUUGGUGACUGAGUGCUUAAUUAUCAAAAUAAUCACAGAGUUCCUUUUUUGGAUUAAAUAAAGUGAUGAACUAAUACAGAAUUGGGACUUACAGGAAAUAGGAAUGAAGGCAUUGGUGCAGCUCGCUUUCAAAAGUAGGGUCAGACUUCAUUUUUUUUUCCUGCUAAGCUGAUAAAACAAAACAGGCAAAGGGACUUAUCUUAAGUUCCAUAGAAUGGUUCAGAAGAGGAAACAAAGCAAUAGCAGACUCAUUUUUAUAACUCAAAUGUUGAAAAGUAAAUCGGCUCAGAACCCCCUGAGCAGGAGAGUUACAUUGCUGCCAAUGGUGGUGUUGGAUAGGUGGGAGUACGUUUGUUUCAGAGCACUGCUCUAUCUGCAGCAUCCAAAGCCCUUAUCAGACACCUUCUGACAUUGGGAUUACAGUUCCCAGGAACUUCUGACCGAAAUAAGUUAAUGAUAUCUGAAGAUAAUUCCCGGAAUGCGUUCCCUUAAGGUGUUUUGGUUUUGCUGUCUUGUAAAUAGUCCUUGCUUCUUUCCCAGACCCAGAAUUCUGUCAUAUUUAGGUAUAAUGACAUUGUGCUCUUUCCAUAAGCAGUCAUUUGCAAAUACAGGGUUAUUCCAACCCCGUGUGUAUUUUGGGAAGAAAUCUCUUUUCCUCGAUAAUUAAAACAGGGAAUUUCAAAAAAGAUUUGUUUAAACACCCAUAAGAACAGUCAAUUUGGGUCAGACAUGAAUAUAUGUUUUAACUGCUCAAGGAAAUAGUCACCAACAGCACCUUGAAAAAUGAGAUAAAUUUAUGUACAGAUCAAGAAACUUCAAGGGUAGGUGGGAAGCACAUCAUGAAGGUAUGAAUUUGUCAACUCUCUUCUUUUUGAGCAGCUUUAAAUUUUUCCUUGUUAACAUUAUUAUAAUUAUUUGUUACAAUUUUCCUAAAAGAAAAAACAUCCAAAUGUUUCCUAUUUUAUUAUCUAUUGUGGCUAAGAAAGCUUAAAGGUACUGAUAUCGGCCCACUUAAUUUAGCUGUUUAUUUUGUUACUUCCUACUUUCUCUAUAAUAUUGUCUUACUUGUCCGUACAUUACAAAGGCACACUGGAAACUAAGCUGAGGAAAAUUACACCCAUUUUCUGACCUGCUUGCUAAUACGAUGUUUACAUCGCUGACGUAAUGAGCAAACCCAUUAUCAUGAGCUUCAGCUGUUUACAACAGGUCUGAACUUUAUCGUUUUCUUUUUUGUAGCUCUGGCUGUGCAGAUUAAUGUAAUGAUGUAAGGUGUGUCAGAUGGCUUCCUUCUGCAGGCAGAGAACACCUCUGCAGCCGCUGUUAGCGCAGGCCUCCGGAGGUGCCUCACUGAAGGGACGUUCUCAUUUUGUGGUGUGGAAGAGAAUCCACAUUAACAGGCAGUUACAAAUAACGGCUGUGACGGAGGAGCAAAACCUUUCCCAACAGCAGCAGUGCAUGUGGGUAGUGUGCACUCAGCAAGGAGAUGCAGCAUACCUGAAGUCUUGGAGCAGUGCUUUUAGGUAGGAAAAAAGGGCUACAAGGGUUCUUCUGCUAACAGAACAGGAAGUCCCUUAUCUUCUAAAGCUGCGUGACUCCAUGCUUAAUUGCAGGCUCCAGGCAGAUACGAAACAUGCCUUGCUCAAAUGAAUUACUUGAGCCUGUACAAGCAAUUUCAGGACCUACGGCAUAGAAGCCAGAUGAGACAAUCUAACCCUCAACUCUUUGAAUAAAAGACAAAUAAGUGAAAGAAGAAGAUGAGCAGAGGCCAAGACAGUGAUGAUUUAGUGAAGCACAACAUUAAAAGAACAGGAAAAAAAAAGAAAGUUUACCAAUAAGAAAUCACUUCUGGUUUGAUGGUGACCCUUCCCUAAGGGAUCAUCCUUCUUGGUGCCCUCACAUCACUCCCAAAGUCCAGUAUUUAACACAAAAUUAGGGCUCCUGCGGCUCCUCCUCUUCCUUCAGCCUGCAGAAAGGUUGAUCAUAAAGGCACCCACCUAAUUCCAGUUCUCCCAGUUGUGGGGUAAUCAGCUCAUUAUGCCGAUGACAGAAAACUGUAAUAUAUAUGCU